UAUAAAUUUGUUUGUUUAAAACAUCAAGCGUUAGACUUCCAUUUAAUAAAGUUACUUAUGG
rnacentral:tRNA from 1 species